rnacentral:rRNA from 1 species
AUUGAACGCUGGCGGCAGGCCUAACACAUGCAAGUCGAACGAGUGGCGGACGGGUGAGUAAUGUCUGGGAAACUGCCCGAUGGAGGGGGAUAACUACUGGAAACGGUAGCUAAUACCGCAUACCAUCGGAUGUGCCCAGAUGGGAUUAGCUUGUAGGUGAGGUAACGGCUCACAUAGGCGACGGUCCCUAGCUGGUCUGCGAGGAUGAGCAGCCACACUGGAACUGAGACACGGUCCAGACUCCUAUGGGAUGCAGCAGUGGGGAAUAGUGCACAAUGGGCGCAAGUCUGAUGCAGCCAUGCCGCGUGGAUGAAGAAGGCCUUCGGGGUGUAAAGUACUUUCAGCUGGGAGGCGUUACCCUCAGAAGAAGCACCGUCUAACUCCGUGCCAGCAGCCGCGGUAAUUC